rnacentral:rRNA from 1 species
GCGCUUAACACAUGCAAGUCGAACGAGAAAGCGGGGGCAACCUCGCAAGUACAGUGGCGUACGGGUGAGUAACACGUGGGUAAUCUGCCCUUGAGUGGGGAAUAACGCUGGGAAACCGGCGCUAAUACCGCAUAAGCCUGAGAAGGGAAAGUCGCAAGACGCUGAAGGAGGAGCCCGCGGCCGAUUAGCUGGUUGGGAGGGUAAAAGCCUACCAAGGCAAAGAUCGGUAGCCGGCCUGAGAGGGCACACGGCCACACUGGCACUGAAACACGGGCCAG